rnacentral:rRNA from 1 species
GGACUACCGGGGUUUCUAAUCCUGUUUGCUCCCCACGCUGUCGCGCCUCAGUGUCAGCUACUGCCCAGCAGGCCGCCUUCGCCACCGGUGUUCUUCCGGAUCUCUACGCAUUCCACCGCUACACCCGGAAUUCCGCCUGCCUCUACAGUGCUCAAGCAAAACAGUUCGCACGGCCGACCCGGGGUUGAGCCCCGAGCUUUCACCGCACGCUUGUCCCGCCACCUACGCGCCCUUUACGCCCAAUGAUUCCGGACAACGCUCGCACCCUCCGUAUUACCGCGGCUGCUGGCAC